rnacentral:tRNA from 1 species
CAGACCUGAGCUCAGUUGGUAGAGCGGAGGACUGUAGUAUGUGCAGAAAAAUCCUUAGGUCGCUGGUUCGAAUCCGGCAGGUGAGA